rnacentral:lncRNA from 1 species
UUCCAACAAAAAUUACUGCUGUAUACGGUAUUUUUCUUGUUUUUUCAACAGUGACUCAUUAUAUAUAUUUAAAUGACUUUUUUUUAUUUUUUGUCUUUUUUUAGGCAGAAAUAAAAGAAAUUCAAGAAGAAAACUGGAAUCUUUAUUUACAGAUAGAUUUGCUUAAGGUAUUAUAUAUUUUUUUAUUAAUAUUUUAAUUUUCUAUUUAGCGUAUUAAUUAAACAUAAUAAAAAUUAAUUUCAGUUUAUUAUAAAAGCCUGUCAUAAUUACUAUUUAUUCAUGCUUAUAGGAAAACUUAAAUAUUUUGGAAGAAAAAUGUAAUCAGUUACAGAAUUUUAAUGAAGAUAAAAAUAAAAACAUUGACAUUUUAAAUAAGGAAGUACGGGACUUAAAGGAUAAGAAAACGAUAUAUGCAAUAGAAAUUGACAAAAUUUUAAUAGAAAAAAAUAAUAUAAGAAUUGAAAGGGAAGAAUUUGAUAAAUCUAAAACAGAAUUUAAAAUAAUAGAAGAAAAGUUUUAUGAAGAAAAAAUAGAAUUUGAAAAGAACAAAGAUGAGUUUUUAAAGGAAGCAGAACAACUACAGAAAUGUAUAGACACAUUGGAAAAAGAAAAACAAGAAAUAUUGGAAAAUAAAAAAGAGUUAGAAAAAGAUAAACAAAAACUAGAAGAAGAUAUACAAAAACUAGAAAAUGAAAAAGUUAAACAAGAAAAUAAUAUGAAAAAUAUCAUAAUAAAGUAUAACAAUUUACAAAAAGAACAUGAUAAUCUUAUAACUGAAAAUUCGGUAUGCUAUAGAUACAACAAAUGUCGUGUACUCUAAUGUUUAUAUUAAAACGCAUAAUAAAUUUUGUAAUGCUAUAAAAAAAGAAUAAAAU